ACGUCCGCCGCCACGAGCCCCCCGACGGACACGCGCGUCCCCGUCACCAGUGCCGCCAGCACCAGACACGCUCCCGUCACCACGGAACACCACAGCAGUAGCGGCUAACACGUGGACAUACAUACCACACGGAUCUCACCCUCCGUCCAAAUCUCUCCACUAGAUACAGCGACAGGGCGGAAGUGAGGAGCUGCACUGUCCCCAGCAGCACCGCGUGUCGAGCCGGUGAUAACAACUCGUCUGUUACAACUCCGGCCGAUAGAUCAUGUAAUGUUGGGGAUAAUGCUGGAGCAGAAAUAUUAGAAGAAUUGCUUGUCAAAUUCUUUACAAUUACUUCGUUAGUCGUCGGCCAUAUUAAAUGUUUCGAAUCGUUCAUAAUUUCUGUUUUCAGUGGGGUGGUCGGUGGUACCGAGUCUGUCAGUCUAGUUUCGUCUCUCGCAAUGACGAACAUUCUCUCUGCGUACUGCAGGAUGGCCAGCACGCCGCAGACCUCUUGUCCGAUGACUGUUAUUGUACCGAUGAUGAAAGCACGGCGACGUUGACGAUCACUCACUGCCAAAAAAUAUCUAUUUAGUACUGUUAUGAAUAUAUUAAAACUUAUAUGGACCAAAAUUUCAUCGACGCAGGAAGAAUUAUUAGGGAGUACCUGAAGUAGAAGAAGCGAUAAGAAAAGUAGGAAAAAAAUGACAAAAAGUGUAUAAAAAUGAAAAUCAGUCUCCAAUGAAGUUCUGUCAUCAAUGUGAUUUUAUAACUCACACAUUUGUCUGGCAAGUCGAAGCGGAGAUCGCACUUCUUCAGUUGGCGGUAAGGCUGCAAAUGCGUGGAUCAGUUCUGGAUGAUCAGAAGACACACCACGAAGACGAGCGAGGGACAGGCGAGCCUCCUUCACAUAACGAAGGAAUUUGAAAAUGGUUUUGCUGGCGUGAUUCAGAAGAUGCCACACUAGAGAUACGUGUUUCCUGAACCUUAAUAUUGUUGAGUGAUAUAGGUUUUGUUGUAACAAUAAAAACUUUAACAGAGAAACCUAAACCAAAUGUUUAUUAAUUCUAAUUAAUUUCAGAAAAGUGCUCUAUUUGGUACUUUUAUUUUUGUAAGUGAUUAAUUUAUGUAAUGUCUUGCCUCCAUUUUUCCGUUAGCGGCUAAGAAGGACGGUGAUUCAGGAACGAAAGUGAACGCAACGCAAUGAACUAACGCCAGUGACAGGCAACAAUACAGCACUGUCCUGGAAAUAUAUUUAAUGGUUCAUGAAUUGAUAUAACAUACAAAAAAACUGAAAACAUAGUAGAGUCCAAAACAACUUGUUGACUGGAAAAAUCUUUUAACCUGAAAAAGCAUUAAGUUUACUUGUGAGGUACGGCCGCGUCCGCUGCGAGGUACAUAGCGAGGACUCCAACGUUAUGCGCCAGAGACAGAGCAGACACCGCUGCGCCGCGGUACUGUGAACUGCACAUCUAUGAACACAGAUUUUAUUUUGAUAAAAUUUGAAUUAUAACCUGAUAACAUAAGUAAUGCUUAAACCUUUGGAAAUUGGAGCUCGCUUUCCAUUGACCGAUAAAUUGAAAGAAGUAAAAUUAGGAAGUUAUCAACAUAAAAUUAAUAUGAAAUAAGAGAGAACUCAGUGUUACCCAAAAAAUAAUUUCGAUCGAGUAGGGCUACUUGGUCGGAAUUAUUUAAGAAAAUAUACGAAAUAUAACUAAUUUCCUGCAUCUAGGUUCUAUGCAUGACUAACCUCCCUGGCUAGAAGGGGCUCCAAGGCCCAGGCGGAGGCUCCACCUAAACCUGCCGCGAUCCUCGCAACCACCACCAGAGCCGCACCUACACCCGACCAUUCUGAGCCGCACCACAGACUCGCCAGCUUUAGAGUCCAGCACAGCUACAAAUUAAUACAGCUCGUGGCAUAUAGACUAUUUGAUUAGUGUUUAACAUUCGGUGAUUUUCUUCAGAGCAAAACGGUCAUACAUUCACAUUCGACACAGUAGUAUGUAUACAUCAUACCAACCGCGAAGCAAGCCGAAGUACCAAUGAGAGCAAACUUGCGUCCGUAGAGCAAAGCCCGCGCGCUCAAAGGGACGCCAGCCAUGGAGGCUCCGAAAGUGGUGACAGCAGCAAUGACGGCUCCCCUCCCCGAGGCCUCCGCCUCCUCCGCUGGAGCCUCUCCGCUCACCAAUGACACCCAGCCCAUGGCCAGACCAAACGACACGGUCGGUAUAUUGACUGUAAGCAGACGGUUGCAAAGACAAAUACAAUAAUAUAUUACAUGUAGGUACAUAAGCACUUAUUACAUCGAUCGAUGGAAUAUUAGUGCCCAUACAGGAUUCGACACGCGGCCGCACGACACGGCAGUUAGUUAGUUCAUAGUAAGUAAGUAAUAUUACAAAGUUGUAAUUAGUGAUUUUAUUUCCUUGUUGUAAUAACAGAAAUUAAGUGAAAAGAAAUUCGCAGGCUAUAUCAUCUAGGGCUACUUUGUUGAUCCAAAAGUAUUCGUAGAAUCAUGUAGAAUAAAACAUGUUCAUAUUGCACAUACAAAAAUUAGUAAAAAUGUUCGUUAGCAAAGUAUAAUAUAAUUACUAUAAAUAGCUAAUGAACACAGGAUUGUUUUUUUAUAAUUAUAAUAACAACUCAUUUAUGGAAAACAUAUUUAUUUUUAAUUUACAAGAUUUAAUAGGCGAUCUAUAAAUUUCCAAAAAUCCUAUUGAAACGUCACCUUUUUAAUAAUAAUAAAUAAUCAAACUUCAGCCCCUUAACACUUCCUAUCAGGAGUACUUAUUGAACUGUACGUCUGUUCCAAAGCAUUAACUGGCACUAUGAGGACAAAAAGCCCUUCUAAUAUGCAGUACUGGAUAUUUCGAGCUAGAAAAUUCAAACUAGAACCAAGACAAGUCUCCAACUUUUUCCAUAUGGACAUGUAAUUUUAGUCAUCAUUAUUUUGUAGUGUUUUAAGGACUAAAGUCUGAGUUUUUACCAGCUUUGAACAAACCAUUAAACUUAUUGAGGAAGAGGUCAUUAACAGAUUGUAAAUGUGAAGUCUCGACAGAAAGAGAUCGCCCGAAAGAAGAGAAUGUAUCUGUAACGUAUGUAAAGAGAUGAUCGGCUGCCUUCGACCGACCUCCAGAGAAUGUUACAUAAACCUUUUGUUCAGCCUUCAACUCCAAAACCUUUUAAAUUAAUAAGGUAUUAUUACUAUUUCUUUAAAAUUCUGGUCUGAAUCUCCGUAUGGCUAAGAAUUCUAUGUCUACUAAAAAAAAUUCCUCAACAAGUAUGUAUAUGAGCGACGUCAGAGGUUAUCCUAUAGCUAAUUAUUAUUAUUUAUAACUUUUCAAAACGCAAUAAAAACCGAACAAUUAAAACAGUUGUUAAAGUGAUGCGAAACUAUUUUUAAUUGGUGUAUGUAAUGUGUUUAGUUCUUAAUAAUGUUAUAAACGACCAAUAUUUAUAUCAACAUUAUACAAAUUAUAUUACCGAUUCAUAAA